rnacentral:rRNA from 1 species
UUAAGCGACUAAGCGUACACGGUGGAUGCCCUGGCAGUCAGAGGCGAUGAAGGACGUGCUAAUCUGCGAUAAGCGUCGGUAAGGUGAUAUGAACCGUUAUAACCGGCGAUUUCCGAAUGGGGAAACCCAGUGUGAUUCGUCACACUAUCAUUAACUGAAUCCAUAGGUUAAUGAGGCGAACCGGGGGAACUGAAACAUCUAAGUACCCCGAGGAAAAGAAAUCAACCGAGAUUCCCCCAGUAGCGGCGAGCGAACGGGGAGCAGCCCAGAGCCUGAAUCAGUGUGUGUGUUAGUGGAAGCGUCUGGAAAGGCGCGCGAUACAGGGUGACAGCCCCGUACACAAAAAUGCACAUGCUGUGAGCUCGAUGAGUAGGGCGGGACACGUGGUAUCCUGUCUGAAUAUGGGGGGACCAUCCUCCAAGGCUAAAUACUCCUGACUGACCGAUAGUGAACCAGUACCGUGAGGGAAAGGCGAAAAGAACCCCGGCGAGGGGAGUGAAAAAGAACCUGAAACCGUGUACGUACAAGCAGUGGGAGCCUCUUUAUGGGGUGACUGCGUACCUUUUGUAUAAUGGGUCAGCGACUUAUAUUCUGUAGCAAGGUUAACCGAAUAGGGGAGCCGAAGGGAAACCGAGUCUUAACUGGGCGUUAAGUUGCAGGGUAUAGACCCGAAACCCGGUGAUCUAGCCAUGGGCAGGUUGAAGGUUGGGUAACACUAACUGGAGGACCGAACCGACUAAUGUUGAAAAAUUAGCGGAUGACUUGUGGCUGGGGGUGAAAGGCCAAUCAAACCGGGAGAUAGCUGGUUCUCCCCGAAAGCUAUUUAGGUAGCGCCUCGUGAAUUCAUCUCCGGGGGUAGAGCACUGUUUCGGCAAGGGGGUCAUCCCGACUUACCAACCCGAUGCAAACUGCGAAUACCGGAGAAUGUUAUCACGGGAGACACACGGCGGGUGCUAACGUCCGUCGUGAAGAGGGAAACAACCCAGACCGCCAGCUAAGGUCCCAAAGUCAUGGUUAAGUGGGAAACGAUGUGGGAAGGCCCAGACAGCCAGGAUGUUGGCUUAGAAGCAGCCAUCAUUUAAAGAAAGCGUAAUAGCUCACUGGUCGAGUCGGCCUGCGCGGAAGAUGUAACGGGGCUAAACCAUGCACCGAAGCUGCGGCAGCGACGCUUAUGCGUUGUUGGGUAGGGGAGCGUUCUGUAAGCCUGCGAAGGUGUACUGUGAGGUAUGCUGGAGGUAUCAGAAGUGCGAAUGCUGACAUAAGUAACGAUAAAGCGGGUGAAAAGCCCGCUCGCCGGAAGACCAAGGGUUCCUGUCCAACGUUAAUCGGGGCAGGGUGAGUCGACCCCUAAGGCGAGGCCGAAAGGCGUAGUCGAUGGGAAACAGGUUAAUAUUCCUGUACUUGGUGUUACUGCGAAGGGGGGACGGAGAAGGCUAUGUUGGCCGGGCGACGGUUGUCCCGGUUUAAGCGUGUAGGCUGGUUUUCCAGGCAAAUCCGGAAAAUCAAGGCUGAGGCGUGAUGACGAGGCACUACGGUGCUGAAGCAACAAAUGCCCUGCUUCCAGGAAAAGCCUCUAAGCAUCAGGUAACAUCAAAUCGUACCCCAAACCGACACAGGUGGUCAGGUAGAGAAUACCAAGGCGCUUGAGAGAACUCGGGUGAAGGAACUAGGCAAAAUGGUGCCGUAACUUCGGGAGAAGGCACGCUGAUACGUAGGUGAAGUCCCUUGCGGAUGGAGCUGAAAUCAGUCGAAGAUACCAGCUGGCUGCAACUGUUUAUUAAAAACACAGCACUGUGCAAACACGAAAGUGGACGUAUACGGUGUGACGCCUGCCCGGUGCCGGAAGGUUAAUUGAUGGGGUUAGCGGUAACGCGAAGCUCUUGAUCGAAGCCCCGGUAAACGGCGGCCGUAACUAUAACGGUCCUAAGGUAGCGAAAUUCCUUGUCGGGUAAGUUCCGACCUGCACGAAUGGCGUAAUGAUGGCCAGGCUGUCUCCACCCGAGACUCAGUGAAAUUGAACUCGCUGUGAAGAUGCAGUGUACCCGCGGCAAGACGGAAAGACCCCGUGAACCUUUACUAUAGCUUGACACUGAACAUUGAGCCUUGAUGUGUAGGAUAGGUGGGAGGCUUUGAAGUGUGGACGCCAGUCUGCAUGGAGCCGACCUUGAAAUACCACCCUUUAAUGUUUGAUGUUCUAACGUUGGCCCCUAAUCGGGGUUGCGGACAGUGUCUGGUGGGUAGUUUGACUGGGGCGGUCUCCUCCUAAAGAGUAACGGAGGAGCACGAAGGUUGGCUAAUCCUGGUCGGACAUCAGGAGGUUAGUGCAAUGGCAUAAGCCAGCUUGACUGCGAGCGUGACGGCGCGAGCAGGUGCGAAAGCAGGUCAUAGUGAUCCGGUGGUUCUGAAUGGAAGGGCCAUCGCUCAACGGAUAAAAGGUACUCCGGGGAUAACAGGCUGAUACCGCCCAAGAGUUCAUAUCGACGGCGGUGUUUGGCACCUCGAUGUCGGCUCAUCACAUCCUGGGGCUGAAGUAGGUCCCAAGGGUAUGGCUGUUCGCCAUUUAAAGUGGUACGCGAGCUGGGUUUAGAACGUCGUGAGACAGUUCGGUCCCUAUCUGCCGUGGGCGCUGGAGAACUGAGGGGGGCUGCUCCUAGUACGAGAGGACCGGAGUGGACGCAUCACUGGUGUUCGGGUUGUCAUGCCAAUGGCACUGCCCGGUAGCUAAAUGCGGAAGAGAUAAGUGCUGAAAGCAUCUAAGCACGAAACUUGCCCCGAGAUGAGUUCUCCCUGACCCUUUAAGGGUCCUGAAGGAACGUUGAAGACGACGACGUUGAUAGGCCGGGUGUGUAAGCGCAGCGAUGCGUUGAGCUAACCGGUACUAAUGAACCGUGAGGCUUAACCU